rnacentral:rRNA from 1 species
GCACAUGGUGAAUGCCUUGGCGAUAAGAGGCGAUGAAGGGCGUAGUGAUCUGCGAAAAGCGUUGGCGAGUUGAUGAACGAGCUUUGACCCAACGAUACCCGAAUGGGGGAACCCACCUGCCAUAAGGUAGGUAUCUUUAAGUGAAUACAUAGCUUAAAGAGGCGAACCGGGAGAACUGAAACAUCUAAGUACCCCGAGGAAAAGAAAUCAACCGAGAUUCCCUAAGUAGCGGCGAGCGAACGGGGACUAGCCCUUAAGCUAGACAACUGGUAGGAGAAGGCUCUGGAAAGUGCCGCCAUAGUGGGUGAUAGCCCCGUAUCCGAAACCUGAGUCUGGUGAAAUCGAGUAGGACGGGACACGUGAUAUCCUGUCUGAACAUGGGGGGACCAUCCUCCAAGGCUAAAUAC